GCCAAAAGUCCAAUCCCUCUUUAUCUCACCCAAUAAUAAUUAAUUAAUUUUCCAACCAAAAAAAAUAAUUAAAAAUAAAAAUAAAAAUAAAAAGUUGAAGAAAAAACAUGGAGGAAAGAAGAAAGAAAAUGGGAUCAAAAACUGAUAAUUUAGAAGUUUAACACACUGCUGAUCACUGAACCCUAAACUUUCACAUCGAUCUACACAAAAUUAAAUAAAGUACCAAACACCCAAAAUUUAAAAUAAAAAUACCCAAAAAAAAGCAAGAAAAACAGAAAACAGAAAAAAAAAAAAAAUUAUCACUCAGUCAAUCUUCUUCUCCAACCUAAUUAGUAAUUACCCACUUUCUCUCUCCACCAAAAUUCUGCUUCUUUUUGAUGAUUUGAUAAAAAUUCAUCCUUUUUAUUUAGUUUCAGCUGCGAAAAUUAAAACUUUUAGCUGGGUUUUUGUUUGAUGCUAUUUUUGAUGGGAAAGAGAUAGUACUGUGAACCCAUUUCAGUUUGAAGCUUAUUUUCUCUCUCCUAAAUCAUAAACAUGAGGUCUAAUGUGACAGGAGUAGGCUUCUACACCUCUGAACCACGCAACUUUAACCGCGGUUUUGGGCGUGGAACUCCUAAACAGUUUCAACCAUCUCAGACUCCAAGUCAUCCAUCUCCGCCACCACCUCGUAAAGGUGAUCUUUUUGUAGAGGCUGGUCGACUAGCAGUCGAGUAUCUGGUUUCGCGUGGAUUAUUGUCCUCUAAUGUGCUGUCUGGCAAAUAUCAGAAUGGUAUCCUAAGAAAUAAUGCUGGGGAACCACAGGAUCUUCGUAGUUUGCAAGAUAGGGACAGUAGUAGAAGGUCCUCAAUUGAUCAGGAUGUAACCCUAUCAAGGAGUUAUUUGAGGGAGAGGAGAAGACUUGGACCCUCUAGAAGUAUCGGCUCUGACUGGAGCCGCGAGAAUGAGAAGGAAGGAUCAUUGACUGAAGAAGCAAUUCCUUCGAGGGCCAUGGAAAUUGAUAAUGAUACUUUAAACAAGGAUACAUCUAAAGAUACUGAUACUAGUUUUCAGAAUUCUCAUCCAGCUGAGCCAGCUAAUGAGGUGAUGAAACCUUCUGAUGAUUUAGACUUAAAGAUGACUUCUUUGGUGCAAAACAAGGAUGAUAAUGAGAUAGUGGAACCUUCAGAUGUGGUGAAUGCCGUGCGUGAGGAGACCAAAAAUGGCUCUGAUAAUUAUGACAAGGACAAAGAUACUGCUAUGAACAAUCUGGCUAUUCAGCAAGAUGAAGAAAAGAGCAGUUCUUCUACUCUUAUUAACAGCAACAACCUGACGACUGAUUCACUUUUGAUCAGCAAGGAGAACAAUUCCAGUGUGACAGAACAUGAUUCUCUUGACUCCAAAAAAUAUGAUACCAUGAAUGAUUCAGAAGAGACCCCGAGUUCCAAAUGUGUUGUUACUGAUAUAUCUGAUCACUCUUUCAGGGAGGCAGGAGUACUGAACCCUGCAUACACUGUUGAUCUGCAAAAAUCUAUGGAAUCUCUGCCAUUUACCGAUAAAACGUUUUCUUAUGAGCAAGAAUCUGGUGGAUUGCCUGAACUGGGGAUGUGCAGUUCUAUUGUUAAAGAUAGAGGUCAAAAGCGGCCUGUUGAGGAGGAUAGUAUGAUGGAGGGAGCCAAGAAAGCUAAGCAACAAUGGCUUUCUGUUGCUCCAAGUGAUGAGUUUUCACAGCUUCCGGAUCUGAGCGACAAGCAUUCGAUUUUACCAACGAAAGGGUCUCUUAGCAUAUUUAAUGUGUCUGCCAGUCAGGAGAGCUUUACCAAUAUCUCUUUGCCUUUGAAAGCCAAUGUGGAAUCUGAUAUGAAUCAAGGAGAGAAGCAGCUUCUCUCAAGCUCAUUUAAAAUUUGCGACCUCAACCUGAUGGAAGCUUCUGAUAUGCAUGAGCAUCAUGAAGUUCCUGCUAUGUUGUAUCCCACAAUUUCAGGUCCCAGUCGAAAUUUACCAGUCGAUAUUGAUCUGUCCAUGAGUAACAGUUGCAAUUUAACUAAUGAUUACAACGACACUGGAUCAGUGAGAAAAGAUAUUGAAAUAAUUGAUCUGGAAAGUGCUUCUUUGGAGGGAUGCAAAAGCCCUAAUACUUCAAUGAAAAAUACGGAAGCUGGCAUUACAAGCCUGGAGAGCUUUCCAAAUCCACAAAAUACCACCGAUAAUCCAGAUGGUCAGGAUGGGUAUGGGUUCAUGAUCUCAGAGUUGCUUGGUAAUGAUGUCCCAAAUUGUUCUUCAGUUCAGCCUGAUAUGAAUUCUUUGCACAAUGACAUGGGAAUAAAUCAUAGCGAGGGCAUGUUCAGUGAAGACGAUCCAAUCUACAUGUCCUUGGGAGAAAUUCCUCUAAGUAUGCCAGAUAUUUAACUUGCUGCAGGUCUUUUACGUGCUUGGGAGCAGCCUACACAGGAGAGAAAUCCUUUUGAACUGUAGCUCAGUAAUCAUGGGUUGCAGAUAUCACUGUAAUCAGAACUUGCUUGUUUGGAGUGCCUGUGAAUGUGAUUGAACUUCAUGAGGAGCUUUGAUUUGCUGACAAAUGAUGGGGAUAACUGGAGUAGCUUAGAAACAUCAUAAUGUUCCAGCAGGACACCGUUGCUUCGAUGAAACUUCUGAUUGAGGUCUCAACUCCGAUCUACCAAGUUCUGAGAUCAAGUACUCAUAUCGCCUCUCUCUUUCUCCUGCCUCAUUAGUACCUAGUGUGAACUUGUUGAAUAUAUACAAACUAUAUGACCUACUGCGACCACUUAUUAUUACUGUUGUGGUUUACAUCGUCUAGUUAUUUCCUAGUUGCCAAAGUAUACUGGCUAGUGGCUACAUCACUCUAUUUCGAGAUUGGUUUUGGGGGGAAAGAUGUCUUUGUAACAUUGAUCUGUAAGGAAGAUUUGAUGACGAUUAUUCGUCAAAUGAAAGCUGAUAAUCUUCAUGGAAGAAAGUUUGGAUUAGGAGCACUAGCAAGAACAAGCUUGGAAGGAUGUUCUCUAUCCUACUCUGUAGAAUCAAUGUAUAAAAGCUGAUAGUCUCUUGUGUUGUAAACGGGUGGAUAAUCUCCUUUGAAAUCUAAAGGUGAUUUCGUUUAUAGUAAGGCCUUGUUCUUUUGGACUUA